rnacentral:rRNA from 1 species
UACGUAGGGUGCGAGCGUUAAUCGGAAUUACUGGGCGUAAAGCGUGCGCAGGCGGUUCGUUGUGUCGGUGGUGAAAUCCCCGGGCUUAACCUGGGAAUGGCAUUUGGGACUGCAAGGCUCGAGUGCGGCAGAGGAGACUGGAAUUCCUGGUGUAGCAGUGAAAUGCGUAGAUAUCAGGAGGAACACCGAUGGCGAAGGCAGGUCUCUGGGCUGACACUGACGCUCAUGCACGAAAGCGUGGGGAGCAAACAGG